rnacentral:rRNA from 1 species
UCGAGAAUAAUUCACAAUGGGGGCAACCCUGAUGGUGCAACGCCGCGUGGAGGAUGAAGGUCUUCGGAUUGUAAACUCCUGUCAUCCGGGAGAAAGACCUGGCCGUUAAUAGCGGACAGGGUUGAUAGUACCGGAAGAGGAAGGGACGGCUAACUUCGUGCCAGCAGCCGCGGUAAUACGAAGGUCCCGAGCGUUAUUCGGAAUCACUGGGCGUAAAGGGAGCGUAGGCUGCGCGGUAAGUCAGAUGUGAAAUCCCGGGGCUUAACCCCGGAACUGCAUCCGAUACUGCCGUGCUAGAGCAAUGGAGAGGUAGCUGGAAUUCUCGGUGUAGCAGUGAAAUGCGUAGAUAUCGAGAGGAACACUCGUGGCGAAAGCGAGCUACUGGACAUUUGCUGACGCU